rnacentral:lncRNA from 1 species
GCGCGGUGCCCGAACACGAGAGGGCACCUCCUCCCAGAUCCGGGGCGCAGAAGCCCCGCGGAGGCAGGUAGAAGAUUCUGAGGCCCUGGGCGGGAACUAGUAAGCCACAAUCUGGAAGAGUCUUUUACCACCAUGUGGAGGAGAACUAGAGCACUCAUGUUGAACUAUUACCGAGAAAAGUAAUCAACUUCUUUUGUGUUAAGUCACUGAAAGGCAAGUGUUGAUUUGUUGCAGUAAUUGGUGCUCCCUUAACACACCUGUCAGCCGGGCCAAACUCUAU